UGCGCCUUGCCAGCCCGCUCAGAAACUUAAAGGAAUUUGACGGGGGCCCGCACAAGCGGAGGAGCAUGUGGUUUAAUUCGAUGAUACGCGAGGAACCUUACCUGGGCUCAAAUGUAUGUUGACGUAUUCUGAAAGGGAUACUUCUUCGGACAAUAUACAAGGUGCUGCAUGGUUGUCGUCAGCUCGUGCCGUGAGGUGUCGGGUUAAGUCCCAUAACGAGCGCAACCCCUAUCAUUAGUUGCCAUCAGGUCAAGCUGGGGACUCUAAUGAAACUGCCUACGCAAGUAGUGAGGAAGGUGGGGAUGACGUCAAAUCAGCACGGCCCUUACGUCCAGGGCUACACACGUGCUACAAUGGUCGGUACAAAGGGUUGCCAAGCCGCGAGGUGGAGCUAAUCCCAUAAAACCGAUCGUAGUCCGGAUCGCAGUCUGCAACUCGACUGCGUGAAGUCGGAAUCGCUAGUAAUCGUGAAUCAGAAUGUCACGGUGAAUACGUUCCCGGGCCUU
rnacentral:rRNA from 1 species